rnacentral:rRNA from 1 species
CCUACGGGAGGCAGCAGUGGGGAAUAUUGCACAAUGGGGGAAACCCUGAUGCAGCGACGCCGCGUGAGUGAAGAAGUAAUUCGUUAUGUAAAGCUCUAUCAGCAGGGAAGAAAAUGACGGUACCUGAGUAAGAAGCCCCGGCUAACUACGUGCCAGCAGCCGCGGUAAUACGUAGGGGGCAAGCGUUAUCCGGAUUUACUGGGUGUAAAGGGAGCGUAGACGGAGAAGCGAGUCUGAAGUGAAAGCCCGUGGCUUAACCACGGGACUGCUUUGGAAACUGUUUGACUAGAGUGCUGGAGAGGUAAGUGGAAUUCCUAGUGUAGCGGUGAAAUGCGUAGAUAUUAGGAGGAACACCAGUGGCGAAGGCGGCUUACUGGACAGUAACUGACGUUGAGGCUCGAAAGCGUGGGGAGCAAACAGGAUUAGAUACCCGGGUAGUC